GAUGAACGCUAGCUACAGGCUUAACACAUGCAAGUCGAGGGGUAUCAAGAGAAAAGCUUGCUUUUCUUGUUGACGACCGGCGCACGGGUGAGUAACGCGUAUCCAACCUGCCUAUAACUAGGGAAUAACCUUGCGAAAGUAAGACUAAUACCCUAUGAUUUCCUUUGAUGGCAUCAGAUUAGGAAUAAAGAUUUAUCGGUUAUAGAUGGGGAUGCGUCUGAUUAGCUUGUUGGCGGGGUAACGGCCCACCAAGGCAACGAUCAGUAGGGGUUCUGAGAGGAAGGUCCCCCACAUUGGAACUGAGACACGGUCCAAACUCCCACGGGAGGCAGCAGUGAGGAAUAUUGGUCAAUGGGCGGAAGCCUGAACCAGCCAAGUAGUGUGCAGGAUGACGGCCCUAUGGGUUGUAAACUGCUUUUAUACAGGAAUAAAGUUAGCCACGUGUGGUUAUUUGUAGGUACUGUAUGAAUAAGGACCGGCUAAUUCCGUGCCAGCCGCCGCUGUAA
rnacentral:rRNA from 1 species